GCUUGUCUCAAAGAUUAAGCCAUGCAUGUCUAAGUAUAAAUAGUAUACAGUGAAACUGCGAAUGGCUCAUUAAAACAGUGAUAGUUUAUUUGAUAGUGAAAGACUACAUGGAUAACCGUAGUAAUUCUAGAGCUAAUACAUGCUAAAAAACCUGACUUUUUGAAAGGUUGUAUUUAUUAGAUAUCAAGCCAAUAUUCCUUCGGGAUUAUUGUGAGGAAUCAUAGUAACUGAUCGAAUCUCUGCAUAGAGAUAAAUCAUUCAAGUUUCUGACCUAUCAGCUUUCGAUGGUAGGGUAUUGGCCUACCAUGGCUGUCACGGGUAACGGAGAAUUAGGGUUCGAUUCCGGAGAGGGAGCCUGAAAAAUGGCUACUAUAUUCUAAGGAAGGCAGCAGG
rnacentral:rRNA from 1 species